UACGGAAGGCAGCAGUGGGGAAUAUUGCACAAUGGGCGCAAGCCUGAUGCAGCCAUGCCGCGUGUAUGAAGAAGGCCUUCGGGUUGUAAAGUACUUUCAGCGGGGAGGAAGGCGAUGCGGUUAAUAACCGCGUCGAUUGACGUUACCCGCAGAAGAAGCACCGGCUAACUCCGUGCCAGCAGCCGCGGUAAUACGGAGGGUGCAAGCGUUAAUCGGAAUUACUGGGCGUAAAGCGCACGCAGGCGGUCUGUUAAGUCAGAUGUGAAAUCCCCGGGCUUAACCUGGGAACUGCAUUUUGAAACUGGCAGGCUUGAGUCUUGUAGAGGGGGUAGAAUUCCAGGUGUAGCGGUGAAAUGCGUAGAGAUCUGGAGGAAUCCGGUGGCGAAGGCGGCCCCUGGGACAAAGCUGACGCUCAGGUGCGAAAGCGUGGGGAGCAAACAGGGAUUAGGAUACC
rnacentral:rRNA from 1 species